rnacentral:rRNA from 1 species
GACGAACGCUGGCGGCGUGCUUAACACAUGCAAGUCGAACGAAAAGAGGGAAAGAGCUUGCUCUUUCCGGAAUUGAGUGGCAAACGGGUGAGUAACACGUAAACAACCUGCCUUCAGGAUGGGGACAACAGACGGAAACGACUGCUAAUACCGAAUAAGUUCCAAGGGCCGCAUGGCCCAUGGAAGAAAAGGUGGCCUCUACCUGUAAGCUAUCGCCUGAAGAGGGGUUUGCGUCUGAUUAGCUGGUUGGAGGGGUAACGGCCCACCAAGGCGACGAUCAGUAGCCGGUCUGAGAGGAUGAACAGCCACACUGGAAUUGAGACACGGUCCAGACUCCUACGGGAGGCAGCAGUGGGGAAUCUUCCGCAAUGGGCGAAAGCCUGACGGAGCAACGCCGCGUGAGUGAUGACGGCCUUCGGGUUGUAAAACUCUGUGAUCCGGGACGAAAAGGCAGAGUGCGAAGAACAAACUGCAUUGACGGUACCGGAAAAGCAAGCCACGGCUAACUACGUG